GGCUCAGACGGUAAAGCGUCUGUCUACAAUGCAGGAGACCAGGGUUCGAUCCCUG
rnacentral:tRNA from 1 species